UUACAAAAAGAAGGCACUUUAUUUAAGAGAAAUUCAUUUUACAAGUCAUCUUCUUUAUAAAUUUCAGGUAAAAUUUUGGAAAGGAAAAGAAAUGAAAAAGGCUGCUGAAAGAAUCUUUGCACAGAAAGUUGUUUUUAAGCUGAGGUCAAAAACUUGAAUAGCAUUUUUCAUUUUACGUGCAUCAUGAAGAAUGCAGAUCCUCAUUGUUGCAUUAUCAGUGAAUUUCAAGCCAUGCAAUUUUCCCCUAGAGAAGAAAUUCACCCAGUUGAAAAGGAUGAAUGAAUAUCGCUGGGUCAAAAAAUAUUGUAGCUGCCACCCUCCGUGAUUAGGAUUCUAUUCACUGUUGCCUUUCUGCAGAGUACGGAGGUUGUGCGUCAAAACCUGCUGUUCAACAAUCCCAGCUGCAUGCAUCUUAUUAUCCCAGUGCUGAUUACAAGAUCCCAUUGACCACAAGCUGCCUGUCUGCCUGUCUAGAUGGUGUGAUUAGUGUAUAAUCAAUCUUUAAUCCAAUCAGAAAACUCUCUGUCUGCAACUGAUAAAGGUCUCGGCAGGGUACUGAUGAGGCCAGAGCCUUGGUAUCUCUAAGGGGACACCUGCAGCAUGUGAGGUGAAGAAGCUAAGCAGGCUGAUCUAAGAGAAAGGAAUUAAGGUGGUCUGUAAAAAAUCUGAUAAACAACAUUCAAACAGAACAAACUAGGUAGCUAAAGUGUAGGGCUCAACAUUCCAAGAGUCCCUGAAAUGCUGUUCUGCUCUAAAUCGUAACACAAAGAGAGAAUCAUCUUUUAGCUCAGAAAGACCAUCCAAGGCAUAACAUUUAGUUUUUGUUCAUUAAAAGCCACCAAAAUAAUUUAACGGAUUAUCUGAUUCCCUCCAGUGCAUGAAUUCAUCUGUGCUACUUCAUUUUUUACUUUGUUGUCUCUAUGUCUUUAAAGGAUGCUGGAAUGGUGUAUGUGACUUUCUAAAUUAUAAUGCCAGAAAAUAAUUGCCUGUUCAUUGCUUUUUCUUUCUUUUUUUUUUUUUUUUUUUUUAAUUUCUUGACCCAAAUUAAAUAUUUUUUCUCACUUUAUCUCAGUAUUCUUUCCUAAUUCUGCAAAUGGGAUACUUAUAAUUACAGCUCAUAUUAAAGCUGUUAAAAAACAGCAUAUUAUUAUAUGAU
rnacentral:lncRNA from 1 species